rnacentral:rRNA from 1 species
GACGAACGCUGGCGGCGCGCUUAACACAUGCAAGUCGAGCGAGAACCAGGCCUUCGGGCCUGGGGACAGCGGCGAACGGGUGAGUAACACGUGGGUAAUCAACCCUCGAUACUGGGAUAGCCCGGGGAAACCCGGAUUAAUACCGGAUGGCCCUUUGGAUCCUCGGAUCUGAAAGGAAAAGGUAGCUUCGGCCUCCGAUCGAGGACGAGCCCGCGGCGGAUUAGCUUGUUGGUGAGGUAACGGCUCACCAAGGCGACGAUCCGUAGCUGGUCUGAGAGGACGAUCAGCCACACUGGGACUGAGACACGGCCCAGACUCCUACGGGAGGCAGCAGUGGGGAAUCUUGCGCUAAUGCGGGAAACCGUGACGCAGCGACGCCGCGUGAGGGAUGACGGCCU